UGUGUGCGCCCUUAAAAGAAAUCCCCAGCUAGGGGAGAGGUUGAAAAGCGGAUGCAAUUUCCGGCGCACACU
rnacentral:ncRNA from 1 species